CUAGCGACUUCAGAGUUUGAUCCUGGCUCAGGAUGAACGCUGGCGGCGUGCUUAACACAUGCAAGUCGAACGAAGAAAAUUUGAUUGAGAGCUUCGGCAGGAUUUCAUUUUUUCUUAGUGGCGGACGGGUGAGUAACGUGUGGGCAACCUGCCCUAUACUGGGGAAUAAUCACUGGAAACGGUGACUAAUACCGCAUGUCAUCGCCGGAGGGCAUCCUCUGGUGAAAAAAGGAGUAAUUCGGUAUAGGAUGGGUCCGCAUCUGAUUAGCUAGUUGGUGAGAUAACAGCCCACCAAGGCGACGAUCAGUAGCCGACCUGAGAGGGUGAUCGGCCACAUUGGGACUGAGACACGGCCCAA
rnacentral:rRNA from 1 species